rnacentral:misc_RNA from 1 species
AACACUGUUAACCUGCGGUACCUGCGGAAGGAUCAUUACCGAAGUACAGGCCCUUUUACAGGGCUAAACUUCCACCCUUUGUUUACUAUUCUUUGUUGCUUUGGCGAGACGUCUUCGGACCACCGGCUCUUGGGCUGGUGAGCGCUCGCCAGAGGAAAAUCAAACCCAAACCUUUUUUAGUGUCGUCUGAGAAACAAGUUUAAUUAUUAAAACUUUCAACAAUGGAUCUCAGAUCGGAAG